AAUUAGGGAAAUUUGGGUUUUUUUUUGGAAAAAUUAGGGUUAGGGUUCAUGGGAUGAACCCUAGGGUUCAUCUAGGUAGGGAUGGGGUUCACCUGGGAGAGGGGUUAGGGUUUGUAAUUCAUUAGGGUUCUGGGUUGAUGUUCAUCACCCAGAUGAACAUUGGUUGAAGAUCUCAAUUGAGCUUCAAUUGGAGAUCUGGGAU
rnacentral:lncRNA from 1 species